GACGGAGGGGGCUAGCGUUGUUCGGAAUUAUUGGGCGUAAAGGGCUCGUAGGCGGUUUGUCGCGUCGGGAGUGAAAACACCGGGCUUAACUCGGUGCUUGCUUUCGAUACGGGCAGACUAGAGGUAUGCAGGGGAGAACGGAAUUCCUGGUGUAGCGGUGAAAUGCGCAGAUAUCAGGAGGAACACCGGUGGCGAAGGCGGUUCUCUGGGCAUUACCUGACGGCUGAGGAGCGAAAGUGUGGG
rnacentral:rRNA from 1 species